UACGUAGGGGGCAAGCGUUGUCCGGAAUCAUUGGGCGUAAAGCGCGUGUAGGCGGCCCGAUAAGUCCGCUGUGAAAGUCCAGGGCUCAACCCUGGGAUGCCGGUGGAUACUGUCGGGCUCGAGUCCGGAAGAGGCGAGUGGAAUUCCUGGUGUAGCGGUGUAAUGCGCAGAUAUCAGGAGGAACACCAAUGGCGAAGGCAGCUCGCUGGGACGUGACUGACGCUGAGACGCGAAAGCGUGGGGAGCAAACAGG
rnacentral:rRNA from 1 species